rnacentral:rRNA from 1 species
GGCCAGACUCCUACGGGAGGCAGCAGUGGGGAAUAUUGCACAAUGGGGGAAACCCUGAUGCAGCGACGCCGCGUGAGUGAAGAAGUAUUUCGGUAUGUAAAGCUCUAUCAGCAGGGAAGAAAAUGACGGUACCUGGUUAAGAAGCCCCGGCUAACUACGUGCCAGCAGCCGCGGUAAUACGUAGGGGGCAAGCGUUAUCCGGAUUUACUGGGUGUAAAGGGAGCGUAGACGGCAGCGCAAGUCUGGAGUGAAGGGCGGGGGCCCAACCCCCGGACUGCUUUGGAAACUGUAUAACUGGAGUGCAGGAGAGGUAAGUGGAAUUCCUAGUGUAGCGGUGAAAUGCGUAGAUAUUAGGAGGAACACCAGUGGCGAAGGCGGCUUACUGGACUGUAACUGACGUUGAGGCUCGAAAGCGUGGGGAGCAAACAGGAUUAGAUACCCGGGUACCU